CACAGUAUGCAGUUCUGGCUAAGCAAAGCAAGAAGGAAGCUAUAGAACUUCAAAAUGUUUUUGACUUUGCUGUGAAUUUACAGUGGGACAGUGCAGCAGCAAGCAAAGGGAACAGUGAACAGCAUCCAGAGCAAGCACCAAAUGAAGAAAUGGGGAAAAACAGAGACAAGUAAAGGCAUGUGGAAAAGGAAGCAACACAGAUGUGGUUAAGCAGGUGAAUGGCGGUGUGAUGCAGAGCGCUGUGUAGCACUGCUGGCCAGGGAAGGUCUCCAGGAAACAUGAGUAGUGUCAUCAUGGCACACUGAUGACUAUGCCUCCUCCAUGUCAGGUAAAGUAACACAGAUUAGA